GGGGGUGAACGGAUUCGACGGGAGUGGUGAGGUAAGAACUGCGUGCCGAGGUUCUGGCGCCUCGUAAAACUGCCGGAAAAAGAUAGCUGCAGACAAUAAUUACGCUCUGGCCGCCUAAACAAGGCGACCCGUUCCUGAUAAAUCUAAGCCUGCGGGCUUAUCAGGAGCGCCGAUAAAGCAGGCUGGCUCUUGGGUGUGUCUCAGGCCCGUGAGCGAGACUAAACUGUGACUGGCUCCGGUGAUAUCCAUCCGGUUGGACAUCGUCGGAGCGAGACCCGAAAACCGGAUACGCAUGUAGAUGUUCUUAUCGAAGUGCUUUCGGACGGGGGUUCAAUUCCCCCCACCUCCAUUC
rnacentral:tmRNA from 1 species